rnacentral:lncRNA from 1 species
GGCUGGGGGAGGAAGGCCGCGGGGAGGCGAGGCCUAAGUGCCUCUCCCCUCCCUGCUUGUUCAGCCCGGGGCUGAAGCCGAGACCCGGGGCUCCCGGCGGUGGCACUGGCCUAGGGUCGGGACCAGGAGAACUGAUAGUGCAUCAGCCGACCCAGGUAAUUUAAAAUAUUCUUCAUCCAGAGAUAGAGGUGGUUCUUCCUCUUACGGACUGCAACCUUCAAAUUCAGCUGUGGUGUCUCGGCAAAGGCACGAUGAUACCAGAGUCCACGCUGACAUACAGAAUGACGAAAAGGAGAGAUCGAUGUCUUAUUGUGAUGAGUCUCGACUGUCAUAUCUUCUUCGGAGGAUCACCCGGGAAAACGACCGAGACCGAAGAUUGGCUACUGUAAAGCAGUUGAAAGAAUUUAUUCAGCAACCAGAAAAUAAGCUGGUACUAGUUAAACAAUUGGAUAUCUUGGCUGCUGUACAUGAUGUGCUUAAUGAAAGUAGCAAAUUGCUUCAGGAGUUGAGACAGGAGGGAGCUUGCUGUCUCGGCCUUCUUUGUGCUUCUCUGAGCUAUGAGGCUGAGAAGAUCUUCAAGUGGAUUUUUAGCAAAUUUAGCUCAUCUGCAAAAGAUGAAGUUAAACUCCUCUACUUAUGUGCCACCUACAAAGCACUAGAGACUGUAGGAGAAAAGAAAGCCUUUUCAUCUGUAAUGCAGCUUGUAAUGACCAGCCUGCAGUCAAUUCUUGAAAAUGUGGAUACACCAGAAUUGCUUUGCAAAUGUGUUAAGUGCAUUCUUUUGGUGGCUCGAUGUUACCCUCAUAUUUUCAGCACUAAUUUUAGGGAUACAGUUGGUAUAUUAGUUGGAUGGCAUAGAGAUCAUACUCAGAAACCUUCGCUCACGCAGCAGGUAUCUGGGUGGUUGCAGAGUUUGGAGCCAUUUUGGGUAGCUGAUCUUGCAUUUUCUACGCCUCUACUUGGUCAGUUUCUAGAAGACAUGGAAGCAUAUGCUGAGGACCUCAGCCAUGUGGCCGCUGGGGAAUCAGUGGAUGAAGACGUCCCUCCUCCAUCAGUGUCAUUACCAAAGCUGGCUGCGCUUCUCCGGGUAUUUAGUACUGUGGUGAGGAGCACUGGGGAAAGCCUCAGCCCAAUUCGGGCCCUCCAAUUACUGAGGCAUACGUAACAGAUGUAAGUGCUUUUGGGCAUUUGAAGUGUCAUUCAAAAAUAAAAUUGUUUUACAUUGUAAAUGCUUCUCUUUA